rnacentral:rRNA from 1 species
UUAAGCGACUAAGCGUACACGGUGGAUGCCCUGGCAGUCAGAGGCGAUGAAGGACGUGCUAAUCUGCGAUAAGCGUCGGUAAGGUGAUAUGAACCGUUAUAACCGGCGAUUUCCGAAUGGGGAAACCCAGUGUGUUUCGACACACUAUCAUUAACUGAAUCCAUAGGUUAAUGAGGCGAACCGGGGGAACUGAAACAUCUAAGUACCCCGAGGAAAAGAAAUCAACCGAGAUUCCCCCAGUAGCGGCGAGCGAACGGGGAGGAGCCCAGAGCCUGAAUCAGUGUGUGUGUUAGUGGAAGCGUCUGGAAAGGCGCGCGAUACAGGGUGACAGCCCCGUACACAAAAAUGCACAUACUGUGAGCUCGAUGAGUAGGGCGGGACACGUGGUAUCCUGUCUGAAUAUGGGGGGACCAUCCUCCAAGGCUAAAUACUCCUGACUGACCGAUAGUGAACCAGUACCGUGAGGGAAAGGCGAAAAGAACCCCGGCGAGGGGAGUGAAAAAGAACCUGAAACCGUGUACGUACAAGCAGUGGGAGCCUCUUUUAUGGGGUGACUGCGUACCUUUUGUAUAAUGGGUCAGCGACUUAUAUUCUGUAGCAAGGUUAACCGAAUAGGGGAGCCGAAGGGAAACCGAGUCUUAACUGGGCGUUAAGUUGCAGGGUAUAGACCCGAAACCCGGUGAUCUAGCCAUGGGCAGGUUGAAGGUUGGGUAACACUAACUGGAGGACCGAACCGACUAAUGUUGAAAAAUUAGCGGAUGACUUGUGGCUGGGGGUGAAAGGCCAAUCAAACCGGGAGAUAGCUGGUUCUCCCCGAAAGCUAUUUAGGUAGCGCCUCGUGAACUCAUCUCCGGGGGUAGAGCACUGUUUCGGCAAGGGGGUCAUCCCGACUUACCAACCCGAUGCAAACUGCGAAUACCGGAGAAUGUUAUCACGGGAGACACACGGCGGGUGCUAACGUCCGUCGUGAAGAGGGAAACAACCCAGACCGCCAGCUAAGGUCCCAAAGUCAUGGUUAAGUGGGAAACGAUGUGGGAAGGCCCAGACAGCCAGGAUGUUGGCUUAGAAGCAGCCAUCAUUUAAAGAAAGCGUAAUAGCUCACUGGUCGAGUCGGCCUGCGCGGAAGAUGUAACGGGGCUAAACCAUGCACCGAAGCUGCGGCAGCGACACUAUGUGUUGUUGGGUAGGGGAGCGUUCUGUAAGCCUGUGAAGGUGUGCUGUGAGGCAUGCUGGAGGUAUCAGAAGUGCGAAUGCUGACAUAAGUAACGAUAAAGCGGGUGAAAAGCCCGCUCGCCGGAAGACCAAGGGUUCCUGUCCAACGUUAAUCGGGGCAGGGUGAGUCGACCCCUAAGGCGAGGCCGAAAGGCGUAGUCGAUGGGAAACAGGUUAAUAUUCCUGUACUUGGUGUUACUGCGAAGGGGGACGGAGAAGGCUAUGUUGGCCGGGCGACGGUUGUCCCGGUUUAAGCGUGUAGGCUGGUUUUCCAGGCAAAUCCGGAAAAUCAAGGCUGAGGCGUGAUGACGAGGCACUACGGUGCUGAAGCAACAAAUGCCCUGCUUCCAGGAAAAGCCUCUAAGCAUCAGGUAACAUCAAAUCGUACCCCAAACCGACACAGGUGGUCAGGUAGAGAAUACCAAGGCGCUUGAGAGAACUCGGGUGAAGGAACUAGGCAAAAUGGUGCCGUAACUUCGGGAGAAGGCACGCUGAUAUGUAGGUGAAGUCCCUCGCGGAUGGAGCUGAAAUCAGUCGAAGAUACCAGCUGGCUGCAACUGUUUAUUAAAAACACAGCACUGUGCAAACACGAAAGUGGACGUAUACGGUGUGACGCCUGCCCGGUGCCGGAAGGUUAAUUGAUGGGGUCAGCGCAAGCGAAGCUCUUGAUCGAAGCCCCGGUAAACGGCGGCCGUAACUAUAACGGUCCUAAGGUAGCGAAAUUCCUUGUCGGGUAAGUUCCGACCUGCACGAAUGGCGUAAUGAUGGCCAGGCUGUCUCCACCCGAGACUCAGUGAAAUUGAACUCGCUGUGAAGAUGCAGUGUACCCGCGGCAAGACGGAAAGACCCCGUGAACCUUUACUAUAGCUUGACACUGAACAUUGAGCCUUGAUGUGUAGGAUAGGUGGGAGGCUUAGAAGUGUGGACGCCAGUCUGCAUGGAGCCGACCUUGAAAUACCACCCUUUAAUGUUUGAUGUUCUAACGUUGACCCGUGAUCCGGGUUGCGGACAGUGUCUGGUGGGUAGUUUGACUGGGGCGGUCUCCUCCUAAAGAGUAACGGAGGAGCACGAAGGUUGGCUAAUCCUGGUCGGACAUCAGGAGGUUAGUGCAAUGGCAUAAGCCAGCUUGACUGCGAGCGUGACGGCGCGAGCAGGUGCGAAAGCAGGUCAUAGUGAUCCGGUGGUUCUGAAUGGAAGGGCCAUCGCUCAACGGAUAAAAGGUACUCCGGGGAUAACAGGCUGAUACCGCCCAAGAGUUCAUAUCGACGGCGGUGUUUGGCACCUCGAUGUCGGCUCAUCACAUCCUGGGGCUGAAGUAGGUCCCAAGGGUAUGGCUGUUCGCCAUUUAAAGUGGUACGCGAGCUGGGUUUAGAACGUCGUGAGACAGUUCGGUCCCUAUCUGCCGUGGGCGCUGGAGAACUGAGGGGGGCUGCUCCUAGUACGAGAGGACCGGAGUGGACGCAUCACUGGUGUUCGGGUUGUCAUGCCAAUGGCACUGCCCGGUAGCUAAAUGCGGAAGAGAUAAGUGCUGAAAGCAUCUAAGCACGAAACUUGCCCCGAGAUGAGUUCUCCCUGACCCUUUAAGGGUCCUGAAGGAACGUUGAAGACGACGACGUUGAUAGGCCGGGUGUGUAAGCGCAGCGAUGCGUUGAGCUAACCGGUACUAAUGAACCGUGAGGCUUAACCUU